rnacentral:rRNA from 1 species
GCCAAAAACCUGAAGUGGCUUCUUUCUUGUUUUGAGCAUAUGUCUGGACUUAGAAUUAAUUUUCACAAAUGUGAUUUGAUUCCUAUCCAUGUCCAUGAGGAGGAUGCUCAAAAGGUGGCUAUAGCCUUAUCAUGUGGUUUGGGAGCUUUCCCCUUAAAAUACCUAGGCUUCCCUCUUCAUUACACCAAGCUCAGGAGAGAAGACCUGCAGCCUGUGGUUGAUAAGGUGCUGAAAAAAGCUGCUGGUUGGAGAGGUAGAUUGCUAGGAUAUGAGAAGAAAUUGGUGCUAGUACAAUCAUGUCUAGCUAGUAUUCCCACUUAUCUUAUGAGC